rfam:Nannochloropsis gaditana strain B-31 chromosome 19, whole genome shotgun sequence.
GGUCCUAUAGUGUAAUGGUUAUCACUUGAGACUCUGAAUCUCACAAUCCGAGUUCGACUCUCGGUAGGACCU